ACUAUUUGUCAGAGUUGUGAGAGGAAGGAGGGAGGGAUUAAGGGAGGAGCAAAACUGAGACUCAAGUACAGAAAAGACAGAAACUUUCACAGUGGUGUUUCAUCCAAAAAACAGACAGAUUGUCUUUAUCUUUAAGAUGCUGUCAGUGAACUUCAGUCUGUUUGUGACUUUGUUUCUGCUCACAAUAAGAGGUGUCAGCUGUGAAGAACUCACUGCAGUCAAGAAACAAGAGUCCAGUUUAGAAGACAGCACUGUUACUCUGUCCUACACAUACUACAAACAAGCAACUGAUAGUGAUUAUUUCUUCUGGUAUCGACAAUAUCCAGGAAAACCACCAGAGUUCCUCAUCUCUCAUUCAGGAACAGGAACACCACUAUCUGGUCAACUCUCCAAACUGUCUUUUAAAGUGGGACAAAUGCAAAUGGAUCUGAAGAUCUCUGCUGCAGUGUCUGACUCUGCUGUGUACUACUGUGCUCUGCAGCCCACAGUGACAGGAAACACCAAAACUCUGUACAAAAACCUUUGGAGCAAAGACAACAGAAUACUCCACAACAUCCACUAGAGGGAGUCACACACUGUUAAACUUCAAUAGUAUGUGAUUAUACAAUCUAGAUUAACUGUACUAGUGAUAAG